rnacentral:rRNA from 1 species
GUAGUCUGCAACCCGACUACAUGAAGCUGGAAUCGCUAGUAAUCGCAGAUCAGAAUGCUGCGGUGAAUACGUUCCCGGGUCUUGUACACACCGCCCCGUCACACCAUGGGAGUCGGAAAUGCCCGAAGCCAGUGACCCCAACCUUAAGGAGGGAGCUGUCGAAGGUGGAGCCGGUAACUGGGGUGAAGUCGUAACAAGGUAGC